rnacentral:rRNA from 1 species
CUACGAGCGAAAGCUUAAACCUCAAACAAUGUGGCGGUGCUUUACUCCUCAUCAGGGGAUCCUGUGGCUUAAUUCGAUAAUCCACGAAAAUCUUAGCCAUUCUUGUACACAGCUUGUGUAUGGCCGUUUAUGCUUGCUCAUAGAAGAAACAAAAGGAAGCAAUAAGGUUAACAACCCAAAAAUUCAGGUAACAUACAGCCAAUGAGUAGCAGACCCAUGGGAUACAAAUAAACACACUAUCAAAUUUAGAACUUAAAACUUUAAUGAAGGAGGACUUGAAAGUAAGGUUUCAACUACACAAAACAAACCUGGACAAGAACUAAAGCGCGCACAAAUCGCCCGUCACUCCGACAAUAAAGUAGGAUAAGUCGUAACAGGGGGGGGGUA